rnacentral:tRNA from 1 species
GCCAGUUAGCUCAGUCGGUAGAGCACUCGCCCUAUAAGUGAGAGGUCCCGGGUUCAAACCCCGGACUAAAUG